rnacentral:misc_RNA from 1 species
UCAAACUUGGUCAUUUAGAGGAAGUAAAAGUCGUAACAAGGUCUCCGUAGGUGAACCUGCGGAGGGAUCAUUAUCGAGUUCUGGUUUCUCACGAAACCGACCUCCAACCCUAUGUUGUCAAAACCAUGUUGCCUCGGGGAGUUCGUCUCUUCUGGAGAUCUGAGCCCCGGUGGACCAUCAUAACUCUGUUUUAUCUUGAAGUCUGAGAACAAAAGUAAUCUAAUUACACAAAACUUUCAACAACGGAUCUCUUGGUUCUGGCAUCGAUGAAGAACGCAGC